rnacentral:rRNA from 1 species
GUCUACAGCCAUGCCACCCUGAACGUGCCCGAUCUCGUCUGAUCUCAGAAACUAAGAGUUGGGCCUGGUUAGUACUUGGAUGGGAGACCACCUUGGAAUACCAGGUGCAGUAGGAG